UCUACUUGUAAGGAUUCUUCAUUCAUCCCUCCAAGCAACGUUGGUAAGUUUUACAAUAUAACUAAAACAAUGUUUUCAAUGGUGCGCUCUAUAGUCCAGAAAAUAGGGUAUAUGGCUUCAGGUAUAGUAUAUAUGCACGAUAAAAAUACAGACCAUUUACCAUUCACGGGGCAUCACUGGUGAUAUUUAGAAGGCCAUUAACAGUUUUGUACUAGUACUUAAUCGAUUUAUUAAUACUGAUUCAUUAGCCGCGAUAAACAAGUUAAAACUCUACUAUGCAAAGCCAAAGCCAUUUAUCAACAACACCCAGCAAAAUUUCUCUCUGCAUUAAACCCCUCCCCAAACAAAUUUCCAAAAUACUGUAACAAUUCUUUGUGUCCUUUUAUUUUUGUUCACCUGACAUGAUUAAACCAUUUCCUGUCAUCUGGAGGGGUUUGCAUUCACCUUAUAGGCCUGCAAAAAUUGUACAAUUUAGGUUUUUAUGUAUUAAAAAUGAGAGGUUCCUUACUUGUGUUUGGUUGUUGGCUUUAGCCUUCUUGGUCUGCCUGUUGCUGGUGAAGUAAUGCAGGGUUCCGUACUCCAUCAGGGCGGCAAAGGUGAAGAUGAAACAGACGGAGACAAACAAGUCCAUGGCGGUGACGUAGGACACCUUGGGCAAGGACUUCCUGGAGAUGGUGCUCAGAGUUGUCAUGAAACCUAGAGAUGUGCGAGCAGGGACAGCAUCCUUGUUGAUCCAGAAGGAGACCCAGGACAAGACCACAAUCAUACUGCAAGGAGGUGAGGGGAGCAGUGAGCAGCAGCGGUGGCCGCGCCCGGGAAUCAUUGUUGGUGAUUCAACCCCCAAUUCCAACCCUUGAUGCUGAGUGCCAAGCAGGGAGUUUUAGGACAUGUGGAAGCUGUCCAUAGGAUGGGGGUACUGCCACGGCCCAAGCGCACCCCAGUGGGCAUUCAUCUGUGCGCUGCGCUGAGCACACCUCCAAGAGUGCGCCGGCGCGCGCCGCUGCUUCUGCAGCAAGCAGCUGCAUUCAAUCGCCAAUCAGCAAUCAACACACCUGUCGCUGAAGAGCUGUCCUGCCUUCUUAAGCCAGCGCAACCUGCUAUCCUGUGCCAGAAUGUAGCGACCUGUCCUGUGCACAGCAUACCUCCGUUCCCGUGUGUGUGUCGUCUCCCCAUAUUCCCUGUGCUUCCCUGGCUGCCUCUUGGAUCUCGACCUCCUGCCUGGAAACGGAACCUUUGACGCAUCGCUGUUGCCCCCGACUUCCUGCCUGCUCACGGACCUCCGAGCCUGUCUUGCCCCCCCUCUUGGACUUCCGCACCUCGCUCAACACUCCUGCCAGCUUGAUCGGGAGACUCGGGGUGCAGCAGUGAGGCGGGUGACGCCUUUACGUCGUCUAAUGCGGGGGCGUCCAAGUGGUUUUCACCGAGGGCCACGUGGCAGUUAUGUUUUUCUAAAACCGUUUUACUGCCCUGUUACAGACACCGUUUGGAAACAAUUAAGGUAUGUAAUUAUGACACCAUUUUUUAAUGCAUUUUAUUAGUCGAUUUUUUUUUUUCAACUAAAAUGUAAAAAUGUUUUGUUUAUUUUACUGUAAAUAGACUGCUGUUAUAGUACUGCUGUUUUUAUGGUUAAAAAA